rnacentral:rRNA from 1 species
CCAAUAGCGUAUAUUAAAGUUGUUGCAGUUAAAAAGCUCGUAGUUGAAUUUCGGGAUCAAUUUGCUGGUCGUGCCUCUGGUACGUACUGGUAUUAUUGGUUUCUCCCUUCUGACGAACCAUGAUGUCAUUAAUUUGAUGUCGUGGAGAAUCAGGACUGUUACUUUGAAAAAAUUAGAGUGUUUAAAGCAGGCAUUAGCUUGAAUACAUUAGCAUGGAAUAAUGAAAUAGGACGUUUGAUCCUAUUUUGUUGGUUUCUAGGAUUGACGUAAUGAUUAAUAGGGAUAGUUGGGGGCAUUAGUAUUCAAUUGUCAGAGGUGAAAUUCUUGGAUUUAUUGAAGACUAACUACUGCGAAAGCAUUUGCCAAGGAUGUUUUCAUUAAUCAAGAACGAAAGUUAGGGGAUCGAAGACGAUCAGAUACCGUCGUAGUCUUAACCAUAAACUAUGCCGACUAGGGCUCGGAUGAUGUUAAUUUUUUAAUGACUCAUUCGGCGCCUUACG